rnacentral:tRNA from 2 species
GUCCACGUAGCUCAGUUGGAUAGAGCGAGGCACUCCUAACGCCUAGGUCGGAGGUUCAACUCCUCUCGUGGACG